rnacentral:rRNA from 1 species
UGCAUGUCUAGUACAUGCCGUAUUAAGGCGAAACCGCGAAUGGCUCAUUAAAUCAGUUAUGGUUCCUUGGAUCGUACAUUCCUACUUGGAUAACUGUGGUAAUUCUAGAGCUAAUACAUGCAGCAGAGCUCCGACCUUCGGGGACGAGCGCUUUUAUUAGACCAAAACCAAUCGGACUCUGUCCGUCUCUCGUGGUGACUCUGAAUAACUUUGGGCUGAUCGCACGGGCCCGUCCCGGCGACGUAUCUUUCAAGUGUCUGCCUUAUCAACUUUCGAUGGUAGGUUAUGCGCCUACCAUGGUCGUUACGGGUAACGGGGAAUCAGGGUUCGAUUCCGGAGAGGGAGCCUGAGAAAUGGCUACCACAUCCAAGGAAGGCAGCAGGCGCGCAAAUUACCCACUCCCAGAACGGGGAGGUAGUGACGAAAAAUAACAAUACGGGACUCUUUUGAGACCCCGUAAUUGGAAUGAGUACACUCUAAAUCCUUUAACGAGGAUCCAUUGGAGGGCAAGUCUGGUGCCAGCCGCCGCGGUAACUCCAGCUCCAAUAGCGUAUAUUAAAGUUGUUGCGGUUAAAAAGCUCGUAGUUGGAUCUCAGUUCCAGACGGGUGGUCCGCCUACCGGUGGUUACUGCCUGUUCUGAACAGCCAGCCGGUUUCUCUUGAUGAUCUUCACCGGUUGUCUUGGGUGACCGGCAAGUUUACUUUGAAAAAAUUAGAGUGCUCAAAGCAGGCGCGACGCCUGAAUAAUGGUGCAUGGAAUAAUGGAAUAGGACCUCGGUUCUAUUUUGUUGGUUUUCGGAACACGAGGUAAUGAUUAAGAGGGACAGACGGGGGCAUUCGUAUUGCGACGCUAGAGG